GAUGAACGCUGGCGGCGUGCUUAACACAUGCAAGUCGAACGAUGAAGCCCAGCUUGCUGGGUGGAUUAGUGGCGAACGGGUGAGUAACACGUGAGUAACCUGCCCUUAACUCUGGGAUAAGCCUGGGAAACUGGGUCUAAUACCGGAUAGGAGCGUCCACCGCAUGGUGGGUGUUGGAAAGAUUUAUCGGUUUUGGAUGGACUCGCGGCCUAUCAGCUUGUUGGUGAGGUAAUGGCUCACCAAGGCGACGACGGGUAGCCGGCCUGAGAGGGUGACCGGCCACACGGGGACUGAGAAACGGCCCCGACGCCUACGGGCGGCAACAGUGGGGAAUAUUGCACACUGGGCGCAAGCCUGAUGCAGCGACGACGCGUGAGGGAUGACGGCCUUCGGGUUGUAAACCUCUUUCAGUAGGGAAGAAGCGAAAGUGACGGUACCUGCCGAAGAAGCACCGGCUAACUACGUG
rnacentral:rRNA from 1 species